GAUGAACGCUAGCUACAGGCUUAACACAUGCAAGUCAAGGGGAAACGACAUCGAAGCUUGCUUUUGAUGGGCGUCGACCGGCGCACGGGUGAGUAACGCGUAUCCAACCUGCCCACCACUUGGGGAUAACCUUGCGAAAGUAAGACUAAUACCCAAUGAUAUCUCUAGAAGACAUCUGAGAGAGAUUAAAGAUUUAUCGGUGAUGGAUGGGGAUGCGUCUGAUUAGCUUGUUGGCGGGGUAACGGCCCACCAAGGCGACGAUCAGUAGGGGUUCUGAGAGGAAGGUCCCCCACAUUGGAACUGAGACACGGUCCAAACUCCUACGGGAGGCAGCAGUGAGGAAUAUUGGUCAAUGGGCGAGAGCCUGAACCAGCCAAGUAGCGUGCAGGAUGACGGCCCUAUGGGUUGUAAACUGCUUUUAUAAGGGAAUAAAGUGAGCCUCGUGAGGCUUUUUGCAUGUACCUUAUGAAUAAGGACUGGCUAAUUCCGUGCCAGCAGCCGCCGUAA
rnacentral:rRNA from 1 species